UGGGGAAUAUUGCACAAUGGGCGCAAGCCGGAUGCAGCCAUGCCGCGUGUAUGAAGAAGGCCUUCGGGUUGUAAAGUACUUUCAGUCGGGAGGAAGGUGUCAAGGUUAAUAACCUUGGCAAUUGACGUUACCGACAGAAGAAGCACCGGCUAACUCCGUGCCAGCAGCCGCGGUAAUACGGAGGGUGCAAGCGUUAAUCGGAAUUACUGGGCGUAAAGCGCACGCAGGCGGUUGAUUGAGUCAGAUGUGAAAUCCCCGGGCUUAACCCGGGAAUUGCAUCUGAUACUGGUCAGCUAGAGUCUUGUAGAGGGGGGUAGAAUUCCAUGUGUAGCGGUGAAAUGCGUAGAGAUGUGGAGGAAUACCGGUGGCGAAGGCGGCCCCCUGGACAAAGACUGACGCUCAGGUGCGAAAGCGUGGGGAGCAAACAGG
rnacentral:rRNA from 1 species